CAUCUCACCGGGCUCCGGGGGUGGGUUCCCCUCCGGGUGAUUCUGAGCAAGUUGACUAAUCUUUCCUUGCCGCAGGUUUCCCCCCCCUACGCCGACUUAUGGAACAGGGGAAUAAAAACACCCACCGUUCUCUUGGCUGUGGGGAGAAUGCAAUUAGGAGCCCCAGGACUGUCCCUGUCCUCACUAUAAAGCAGGGUGAGGCUCCAGGACCAAAGCUCACUUCUCCGGAGUAAUCUUCCCUCCGGGGGAAAAAGGCUCCUCCUCAUGCCUUUCGCGUUACCUGCCAUUGAAAUCUGAAGUUAUCUCGUUCUUUGACUUUUCGUGUUCAAUUCACCUCCCUCCCGGCCUGCAGUUGUCAGUGCUGGGUCUCCAGUGCCUGGAACAGUAUCUGGUGCCCGGUCACAGUGGACGCUCUGCCCAGGACAGACCCGGCACAGAGGAAGCACUAUCAAAGGGGUGACUAACUGUCUUGUUGAAUGAUGGGCUGCUGAGCCACCCCCUUCCUGGCAGCGUCACAGCAAAAAGCUUCUAGAGACUGCCACCCCUGUGCAAGCUGAAACUCCUGAGAAGGAAGACCAUGGCUUUCCGCUGCUUUCCAGCUGGGGGAUUCCAGCCAUCCUUGGCCACUCACUGACCCCACCAAGGGUAACUGUGUCAGUAAGGAUUGGAUUAGUACACACACUGGUCAACCCAGGAGGAUGGAUCUGGGCUGGGCACCCGAUUUUUUGACCUGGACACUCAUUGGACACUUCAAAAUGUUACUGGGACAGUAGCCUCUGCAGAAACCUCAGCCGAUCUUGAGCUCUCAACUCUGAGAAGAUGGGGUGGUUAAUUUUAUGCAUCAGUUUAGUUGGGCUAUAGUACCCGGAUGCUCAAUUAAACAGUAAUGAUUCACCUCUCCCACAACUCUGAACCAGCUCCAUCGCAUACGCCAGAACAAGCCAAGCCAGGUUCCCAGAGAAAUCAAGAUCCUACCUACUUGCAUGUGGGAAAUACAAAAGGAGCCUGUGAGAUAGACAGACACACCAGAGUUUCAUCAUCCAAAUGACCCUGGGUUCCACCAGAUCCGAGAUCCAAGGAGCCCUCGCUCAUCCUUCAGUGCUGCCACUGCGCCAGGCUUUUCUGCAAUUUCCCCUUUGGAAAUCGCCUGAAGGGGCUUGUCAUAGUUGGCUCAGCAAACGUGAACUGUGACUGUUGCGAAUUAGCCACUGUUCUGGGGAUGCUGGGGACAGAAGGAGGGUCUAGCUGUCCCUGACAGGCACAGUGAGAGCCUCAGUAGAGUAUCGUGAAUGGUUUGAACAAAGUGGCCAGUCUUCAUUCUGAAGGUGGAUAUUAUUUCUGACAGCCUGGUUAGUGGAAGCCAGAUGAGGCCAAUAAGGGGUCCUUGCAUCUGCAAUAUCCAUUUAAAAAAAAAAAAAAGGAGGAAUUCUUCUUUCUGGGCUAGAUCCUGCCUUUUUAUGAGCUUCUUGUGGAUGAAAAGAGGGUGGAAAUUAUUUGUGUGCCCUUGCUGGCACACGAUAUCGUAGGAUCACAGAAUGAUUUUGUGCCUUUUGAGUGAGUAUAAGGCUCAGGAAAGCAGUCUCAAAAGGUACAUUCCAGGAUGUUCUGAGUCCGUAGGAAUGUACAUGGACUCUCUCCAAAAUGACAUCUGUUUGGACCCCACACACCUUAUUGGCUGCAAUGCAGCAUGACAGAAGACACACGGACCCAGCCCACAUUAGAGAAGCUGAAAAUUGACGGGCAAAGUAGCAAAACGUGGCUAGAUUUUAGCAGUUCCAAUGUGCCCCUCAGCGCUGCACCAUUAAGAUGUUUCAAGUAACUCAACUUGGUAGGGUUUUAACUUUUGGUUUCUAGGGGAUUACUCCUCUUGUCCCCCCUCAGUGAGGGCAGGGAGUGAAAGCUGUCAGGACACAAAGGAUCUCAAGAUACUGUGAGCCCUCAAUUGCCAAUCGAGAAAGAUCUGUGUUUUUGAAAGCACAAUUAUAAAACACAUUUAGGUUUUCACCUCUUUUGCCCAGAUAGACCUGGGCAAAAAACAUCGUGUGUUUCUGAAGACCACAGCGUUGGCUUCCUUCACUGGGAGUCACUGGUCCCCAAAAGCUGUAGCUUCAGAAGUUUCCAGAACCGAACCUGGAUGACUAAGUGCUAAGCACUGACUCACCUUGCCCCACCCUGCUCCCCGGUGAAUCAGUGAUCUACCUUUGAGGACUUCUCACCACUGUCUCUGAUGUCAGGCUUGUAAAUUCCAAAGGGUUCAACGGUUGAUGAAGGCUCAGGGGCAGGGUCUGGAACCAGGAGAAAGGAGAGAAGGUAGGUGAGGGCGUGUGCCAGGUGCUACUCACUGCUUACCCUGUCCUGUAAUCUUGUGUGGUGUGUGUGUGUGUGUGUGUUUGUGUGUGUGCGUGCACGCGCUUGUGUGUGCGUGUAUGAGGUGGUGCCCAACUUUCCCAGCCUGCUCAUGACAAAGGAGCAAAAGCAUGGCAUAACCCCAGACCAGCAUUGUCCAGUAAAGGCACAACUACCAGCCACAAAUGCAAGCCAGGUCUGUGAUUCUAAAUGUUCCAACAGGCAUGUUGAAAAAGGUAAAGAGGAACAGGGGAACUUAAUUUUAAUAAUCUAUUUUAAUCCAAUAUAUCCAAAAUACUAUCAUUUCAACUUGUAAUUAACAUUAAAGGUUA